UUAUUUUGAGAGUCUUUAAACAGCAUGGUAAUUUUCUUUGGUUAUAAAUUUAGUCCUAAUAUGAUAGGCAUCCAAGAGGGAUAUAAUAAAAACUUCAAUAUAAAGUGCAUUGAAUACUAUGAGAAGUUUGAUUCCUUAUGGUUGUUUUGAGAUAUAAUGAUGGUGAUAUUAGAGUCAUGCUAGUGAGUAAUUGUGAGUCCCGUAGCAUGCACGUAUGGUGAACCAUUAUGUAACGAAGUUGGGGCAUGAAAUAUUUGUUGAUUAUCUUCCUUAUGAGUGGUGGUCGGGGACGAGUGAUGGUCUUUUCCUACCAAUCUAUCCCCCUAGGAGCAUUCGCGUAGUACUUUGUUUUGAUGACUAAUAGAUUUUUUGCAAUAAGUGUGUGAUUUCUUUAUGGCUUAUAUUGAGUCCAUGGUUAGCCUCUCUAGUGUUAGCCUCUCUAGUGUCGCGCAACUUUCGCUGGUACCUUAAACCCACCAUAUACCUUCCUCAAAACAGCCACCAUACCUACCUAUUAUGGCAUUUCCAUAGCCAUUCCGAGAUAUAUUGCCAUGCAACUUUCCACUGUUCCGUUUAUUAUGACACACUUCAUCAUUGUCAUAUUGCUUUGCAUGAUCAUGUAGUUGACAUCUUAUUUGUGGCAAAGGCACCAUUCAUAAUUCUUUCAUACAUGUCACUCUUGACUCGUUGCACAUCCCGGUACACCGCCGGAGGCACUCAUAUAGAGUCAUAUUUUGUUCUAGUAUUGAGCUGUAAUUCUUGAGUUGUAAGUAAAUAAAAGUGUGAUGAUCUUUAUUAGAGCAUUGUCCCAUGUGAGGAAAAGGGUGAUGGAGACUAUGAUUCCCACACAAGUCGGGAUGAGACUUCAGACGAAAAAAAGAGAGAGAAAAGAGAGAAGGGACAAUGUUACUAUCCUUUUACCACACUUAUGCUUCAAAGUAGCACCAUGAUCUUCAUGAUAAAGAGUCUCCUAUGGUGUCACUUUCAUAUGCUAGUGGGAAUUUUUCAUGGACCUCCUCAAAUUGCCCUAGGUCUUCGUGAGUAAGUGAGUUGGAUGCACACCCACUUAGUUUCUUUUUGAGAUUUCAUAAACUUAUAGCUCUAGUGCAUCCGUUGCAUGGCAAUCCCUACUCACUCACAUUGAUAUCUAUUGAUGGGCAUCUCCAUAGCCCGUUGAUAAGCCUAGUUGAUGUGAGACUAUCUCCCUCUUUUUGUCUUCUCCACAACCACCAUAUUUAUUCCACCUAUAGUGUUAUGUCCAUGGCUCAUGCUCAUGUAUUGCGUGAAAGUUGAAAAAGUUUGAGAACAUCAAAAGUAUGAAACAAUUGCUUGGCUUGUCAUCGGGGUUGUGCAUGAUUUAAAUACUUUAUGUGGUGAAGAUAGAGCAUAGCCAGAGUAUAUGAUUUUGUAGGGAUAAGCUUUCUUUGGCCAUGUUAUUUUGAGAAGACAUAAUUGCCUUGUUAGUAUGCUUGAAGUAUUAUUGUUUUAUGUCAAUAUUAAACUUUUGUUUUGAAUCUUAUGUAUCUGAACAUUCAUUUCACAAUAAAGAAAAUUACAUGGAUAAAUAUGUUAGCUAGCAUUCCACAUGAAAAAAAAUCUGCUUUUAUCAUUUACCUACUCGAGGACGAGCAGGAAUUAAGCUUGGGGAUGCUUGAUACGUCUCCAACAUAUCUAUAAUUUUGUAUUAUUCCAUGCUAUUAUAUUAACUAUUUUGGAUGUUUUAUAUGCAUUAAUAUGCUAUUUUAUAUUAUUUUUGGGACUAACCUAUUAACCUAGAGCCCAGUGCUAGUUCUUGUUUUUUCUUAGUUUUUGAGAUUCGCAGAAAAGGAAUACCAAACGGAGUCCAAACGGAAUGAAACAUUCCCGAUGAUUUUUCUUGGACCAGAAGACAACCACGAGACUUGGAGAUAUAGUCGGUGAUGAUGAUAUAGACCUGGGGUAGGGUCAUAGGCCUGACCUAUGCGUCCUAUCCAAGGUCACUGUCAUAGAAGCAAAGAAGCUCAAGGGACCAUAGGGAGGGCCCAACAAAGGUGUCGAGUGCAAUCCACUCAACUAAUCAGCUACUCGAAGAACCCUCCUUCCUGAAGUUGCUCGACCAAUCGACCACUUGACCAUACAAGAAUCCACUCGACCUAUUGAAGACCAGGAGUCAUCUGGAAUGGCAACGGACGAGCGUUCACUUUGUAAUCUUUAAGGCCAUUAAGGCAUUUAAGGCUGGCAUUACCAGUAACGCCUCAUCUUUAUGUACAUUGAACCCUGUGUAACGGAGGGGAGCUGGGGUCCUGGCACACUCUAUAUAAGCCACCCCCUCCUCUGGGACAAGGGUUCACACCCCCUGUAACACACACACACAUAAUCCAGUCGACCGCCUCUGGGCACCGAGACGUAGGGCUGUUACUUCCUCUGCGAAGGGCCUGAACUCGUAAAACUCGUGUGUACAACUUCACCAUAGCUAGGAUCUUGCCUCCUCAUACCUACCCCCCAUUCUACUGUCCGUCUUAGAUCCACGACAGUUGGCGCCCACCUUGGGGCGGGGGUCUUAGCGACUUUUUGGUGGAGUUGCGAUUUUUUCCGAUUCUCAUCAUCAUGGUUUCUGUCGGUGGACUGGCUGAGGGCCGUGAGACCUGUCUCGGCGCGCUCGUUUUCGUUGCCGAUGACUCCGCUUGGCUUCACGAAGCUCCACUCGACGUCGAGGCACUCCCCGUCUGUGGGGCGAUGCACUUUCGCGCGUGCGUCCACGGCGUCCUUCUCUGGCAACCGUCGACCCAGUAUCUGUCGGCUCCUAUGGUGUCCUCGCCCCCCAUUGUUCGCCGGCGCAAGCAUUCCGGUCGGUCGCGGCUCCAGCGGUGGGUGAGACACGCGGUGGCCCGUCAGUCGUCCACCCCACAAGUCGCGGCAAUCGAGCCCGACGAAACUCUCGACAGCAUGUUCGACCUAUCGACUGGCUCCGUUGAGACCGCAUCCGAGUGCGACAGCAGCAAUCCCGCGGCGAAAGUCUUGAUGGUCAAUGGACCACCCAGUCCUCCUGGCUUCCCUCAUGAUGACGGUGGUGAUGGCGGCGGUGAUCCAUCGCGCGUUCACGAGGAGUACCGCCCCGAGCCCCUUUCUUCGCAGCAGCGGGAAGAGCUUCGCCGCCGCAAUAUGGAUGCGCUUCACACUCCUAUCGUUGGAGAAACCACCGAGGCCCGGGCCUUGGAGGAGGCGCGCCUAGACAACUAGGCUGAGCGCACUCAACUGGAGAACCUUCAGCAUGCUCUCGACGAGCGUGCUCAGCAGCGGAUCCCUGAAUCCAGUUGAUGGUAGCUUUUUCCGCCUCAAACUCAAGUAUUCCGCACUCCGAUUCAAAAUCUCACAGCUGCAGCCCGAAUAGCAGAGUCAAUUCAGCCUUCCCAGUCGGAAGCUGGCAGAGGUUUGAUGCAGAUCUGGGCCUUGGUCCGAGCAGCCGGAGAGCAGAACACAGCAGUGUCUCAGUCGUGGAAUAGGAUUCAUAGCAGGUCUGUGAUGGCAGAUUCAGUUAAGUCGGCCCACAGUGCAAGAUCACCCCCGCGGCGUGAAGGACGUGGGCACAGGCAAGAUCAGUACGGAAACCACGAGCAAUAUGAUCACCAACUCGGCCAUGAUGACUGUCCUCGAGUGCCCAUGCCUCCUCUGAGGAGUGGGUCAUAUGUGUCUCGGCGGCAUGAUGACAGACGCCCUCACAGUGGCGAGCGAAGAACACUAGUCGACCCAAGGGAGCUAGGCUUUGAUGCGAGAUCUAUUCUCAUUCAAGGUCUAGUUGACAGGAACAGAGCACAAAGAGAAGGCCAUGACAGAGAUUACCCGACUGGCAGCAGAGUGCACGUUUCAGGUCCCGAGUGUUUCAGCAGAGCCAUCAGGGUCGCGGUGAUUCCUCCCAACUUCAGGUUGGCGACUGGAGUCAACAAGUUUACUGGUGAGUCUAAGCCUGACAGUUGGCUUGAAGACUACCGAUUGGCUGUACAAAUUGGUGGUGGCAAUGAUCAAGUGGCCAUGAAGCACCUUCCUCUGAUGUUGGAAGGCUCGGCCAGAGCAUGGUUGAACCAGUUAGCACCUGGCAGUAUAUUGAGUUGGGAGGAACUCGCCAGAGUGUUUGUUAGGACUUUUGAAGGUAUUUGCAAACGACCAGCGGGGUUGACAGAAUUGUAGCAUUGUGUGCAAAAACCGAAUGAAACCCUGAGAGACUAUAUCCAGAGAUGGAUCACAUUGCACCAUAUAGUGGAGCAUGUGUCAGAUCACCAAGCAGUUUGUGCCUUCAAAGAAGGCGUUAAGUAUCGAGAGUUGAAUCUGCAAUUCGGUCGGAUAGGGGAUAUGUCCUUGACUCGGAUGAUGGAGAUUGCCACCAAAUAUGCUAACGGCGAAGAAGAAGACCGACUCUGGAGUGGCAAGCACAAAAUAGUCGCCCAGGAAACCGAAGGAGGGAAUUCCAGUCGGAAACAGAAGCGCAAGGCCGAGCCAGCUACUCCUGGUGAAGCCUUAGUCGUGGCUCAAGGAAAGUUCAAGGGGAAGCCCAAAGGGCCCUGGACCCACAAGAAAGUGAAAAAUCAAGCCGGAAAUGAUGUGUUGGAUUUGCCAUGCCACAUUCACAUCAAGUACAAUGAAGAGGGUAAUCUGAUUUAUCCUAAACAUACCACUCGAUAGUGCCGAGUUUUGAUCCAGCAGUUCUGAGAAAAGCAACCCAAUGAGAAGGAAAAGGAGUUGGACAAGGAUGAGGAUAAGGAAGAAGAUGACGAUGGUUUUCCCAACUUCAAUUCCACUAUGGUGAUUUUUGCCGAUGUGGAGAGCAAAAGUCGACUGAAAGUUAUCAACAGAGAAGUAAAGAUGGUUGCUCCGGCAACACCCAGUUAUUUGAAGUGGUCUCAGACUACCAUCACAUUCAACCAGUCUGAUCACCUAGUGCGUAUAGCCACCCCUGGGAGGCAAGCGUUGGUGGUCGACCCAGUUGUUGAAGGCACUCGACUGACCAAAGUGCUAAUGGAUGGUGGUAGCGGCCUGAAUAUCCUUUAUGCUGAAACCUUGAAGGGAAUGGGCAUUCCGCUGUCCAAGCUUAGUGAAAGCAAUAUGAGUUUCCAUGGCGUUAUACCUGGCAAGAAGGCUGAAUCACUCUGCCAGAUCGCCCUUGAUGUGGUUUUUGGUGAUUCCAAGAAAAAACCACAAGGAAAAGUUGAUAUUUGAAGUAGUGGAUUUCCAGAGUGCUUACCAUGAUAUUCUGGGUAGGCCUGCCUAUGCACAUUUCAUGGCUCGGCCAUGUUAUGUGUACCUCAAAUUGAAAAUGUCUAGUCCCAAAGGAGUGAUCACUAUCACUGGCAAUCGGCAGAAGGCGGAAGAGUGCUUCCAGAAGGGCUCAAAAAUUGUCGAUGCACAAAUAGCAGCAGUCGAAAUGCAAGAAUACCGGAAAAAUGCAGAUCCAAGUGAUUUGCUGCGCUCCAAGAAGCCUGCCACAGAUUCUGCAUUUCAGUCGUCCGGUGAAACCAAGCCGAUUCAUAUUCACCCGACCGAUCCUAAUGCUGCUCCUACUCAUAUCUCAACAUCGCUCGACAGCAAAUAGGAAGAAGCGCUCAUCCAGUUCCUCCAUGAGAACUGGGACAUCUUUGCAUGGAAACCUUCUGACAUGCCGGGUGUACCCAGGGGACUGGCUGAGCAUCGUUUGUGAAUUGACCCGAAAGUAAAACCAGUCAAGGAACAUCUUCGAAGGUCCACCGUACAGAAGAAAAAAGCAAUUGGUGAGGAAGUGGCUCGGCUCCUAGUAGCUGAGUUCAUCCGAGAGAUUUACCACUCCGAGUGGCUGGCCGAUGUUGUCAUGGUCCCCAAGAAGGACGACUCACUUCGCAUGUGCAUUGACUUCAAGCAUAUCAAUCGGGCCUGCCCAAAAGAUCAUUUUCCUCUCCCCCGCAUCGACCAGAUUGUCGACUCGACUAUAGGGUGUGAGCAUUUGUCUUUUCUAGACGCCUAUUCCGAGUACCAUCAGAUCCGACUGUAUGGACCUGAUGAGAUAAAAACAGCUUUCAUCACUCCAUUCGGGUGUUUUUGUUAUGUCACCAUGCCAUUCGGUCUCAAGAACGCUAGAGCCACAUUCAUGAGGAUGAUUCAGAAGUGUCUGCUCACUCAAAUCGGUCGGAAUGUGGAAGCAUACAUGGAUGACAUUGUGGUCAAGUCACGUAAAGGUUCCAACCUGCUGGCUGACCUUGCUGAAACCUUUGCCAACCUGAGAAGGUAUGAUAUCAAGCUUAACCCAUCAAAGUGCACAUUCGGAGUUCCUGGUGGAAAGUUACUCGGCUUCCUUGUUUCCGAACGAGGGAUCGACACGAACCUAGAGAAAGUUGGUGCCAUACUCCGGAUGAAGCGCCCUGUGCAUGUGCAUGAUGUCCAGAAGCUUACUGGUUGUUUGGUCGCCUUGAGUUGAUUCAUUUCUCGCCUCAGUGAAAAGGCAUUACUCCUUUACCGACUAAUGAAGAAACCUGACAAGUUCGAGUGGACUCCUGAAGCUGAUGCAGCGUUUGCAGAACUCAAAGCCCUGCUUUCCACCCAGCCGGUGCUCGCUGCCCCAAUCAGCAAAGAGCCUUUACUGCUUUAUAUUGCAGCCACUAGACAAGUUAUUAGUACAGUACUCACAGUCGAGCGGGAAGAAGAAGGAAAAGCAUAUAAAGUUCAGCGCCCAGUAUACAAUGUUUCUGAAGUUCUGACUCCAUCCAAGCAAAGAUAUCCACAUUCUCAGAAGCUUGUUUAUGGGAUUUACAUGACCACAAAGAAGGUUGCACAUUAUUUCUCUGAUCACUCCAUUAUAGUCGUCAGCGAUGCACCAUUGUCAGAAAUUCUGAACAACAAAGAUGCAACUGGUCGAGUGGCAAAGUGGGCGAUUGAACUCCUUCCCUUGGAUAUCAAGUUUGAGCCAAAGAAAGCUAUCAAGUCCCAAGCAAUAGUAGAUUUCCUCUCCGAGUGGGUCGAACAGCAACUGCCGACUCAGAUUCACUCGGAGCAUUGGACCAUGUUCUUUGAUGGAUCCAAGAUGCUGAAUGGUUCUAGUGCUUCGGUGGUACUGGUAUCCGCCCGAGGUGACAAACUCAGCUAUGUUCUCCAGAUUCAUAUUGACUCCUCCAACAAUGAAGCUGAAUAUGAAGCACUUCUGUACGGGGUUGCGUAUGGCCAUUUCACUCGGCGUCCGUCGCCUCAUGGUCUAUGAUGACUCGGAUUUGGUGGUUAAUCAAGUAAUGGAUGAGUGGGACGUCAGAAGCCCGGCUAUGACUGGCUAUUGUAAUGCAAUGAGAAAGUUAGAGAAGAAGUUUGAAGGGUUAGAGCUCCAUCACAUACCCCGACUUAAAAAUCAAGCGGCUGAUGAUUUGGCAAAGAUAGGUUCCAAGAGGGAGGCCAUUCCUAGCAAUGUGUUUUUGGAACAUAUUCAUACACCUUUAGUUCAGGAAGACCCUUUCACUAAAGAGCCCCCACAACCAAAGAGUGCCACUGAUCCAACUGAAGUCGAAGUCCCAGCCGUGGUCGACUUGAUCAUGGAGGUUUUGGUCAUCACUCCCGACCGGAUAGUACCGUACAUUGCGUACAUUCUUGGGAAGGAACUCCCAGAGGAUGACGAAGAGGCUCGACAGAUCGUCCAUCGAUCCAAAGCCUUUACUGUGAUAAGAGGACAGCUGUACAGAGAAAGUGUAGCUGGAGUCAGUCAGAAAUGCAUAACACCAGAAGAAGGUCGAGUGAUCCUCAACGACAUCCACUCGGGGACCUGUGGUCACCAUGCGUCCUCUCGGACCAUUGUGGCCAAAGCAUACCGAGCAGGGUUUUAUUGGCCACGAGCAAAUGAGAUGGCGAAAGAAAUAGUUGACAAAUGUGAAGGUUGCUAGUUUUACUCGAACAUGUCUCACAAGCCUGCAUCAGCCCGGAAGACCAUUCCACUCGUUUGGCCCUUUGCCGUUUGGGGAUUGGACAUGGUCGAACCUCUGAGGACUGGCAAGAGCGGCUUCACUCAUGUGCUCAUGGCAGUCGACAAGUUCACCAAAUGGAUUGAAACCAAGCCUAUCAAAAAUCUUGAAGCCAGUACUGUUGUUAGCUUCAUCAGAGAAUUAAUGUUCAGAUAUGGUGUUCCACACAGCAUCAUCACCGACAAUGGAUCUAACUUCGAUUCUGAUGAGUUUCGAGCCUUCUGUGCUUCCCAAGGCACUCGAGUCGACUAUGCUUCAGUCGCCCAUCCCCAGUCGAAUGGACAAGCAAAAAGAGAAAAUGGAUAAUUCUCGAAGGACUGAAACCCCGAUUGAUGCAUGAUCUCAAGCAUGCAGCAGGCGCCUGGGUCGAUGAACUUCCAUCAGUGCUUUGGGGAUUGAGGACAACUGCAAAUCGGUCGACUGGCCGAACUCCAUUCUUCUUGGUCUAUGGACCUGAAGUUGUUCUACCGAGUGACUUGCUUCAGAAUGCACCCCGAGUCGAGAUUUUCUCUGAAGAUGAAGCGAAGCAGGCUUGGCAAGACGCAGUUGAUCUCCUGGAAGAGGAAAGAGAGAUGGCACUGAUCCGGUCGACCAUUUAUCACCAAGAGCUGCGCCGAUUCCACGCCAGAAACGUGAGGGGUCGAGCAUUUCAAGAGGGAGACUUGGUUCUUCGAGUGGAUCAGCAGAAACCUCACAAGCUUGCUCCUGCUUAGGAAGGCCCCUUCAUUGUCACCAGAAUGCUCCACAACAGAGUGUACCAUCUUUACAAUGUCGAGCAUAAGAAAGACGAGCCACACGCUUGGAAUGCGGAGCUGCUCCGCCCCUUUUACACUUAAAAGCACUCAGACUGUUGAGAUGUAAUAAGAAAUACCCUCUAGUUUGAUUAUCAAAGACACAGUUUUACAGUCUCCUAAAUGAUUGUUGUUCCUUUUUUAUAUGUUCUAAAUCCCCCAGUGGGUGCCUUAGAUGCGAAUCCAUUUCGCCUAAGUUUAAAAACAAUCCUAUCGAGUGAAGAGCAACCCUCUCACUCGGAGGCUUAACUGCGAAUCCAUUUUGCCUAAGUUUGAAAAAUCCUACUGAGUGGUGAGCAAGCCUGUCACUCGGGGGCUUAGAUGCGAAUCCGUUUUGCCUAAGUUUAAAAAAAUCAUCUCAAAUGAAGAGCAACCCUCUCACUCGGGGGCUUAGCUGCAGUCCAGUACUCGCCUAAGUUUGAAAAAUCCUACCGAGUGGUGAGCAAGCCUCUCACUCGGGGGCUUAGCUGCAGUCCAGUACUCGCCUAAGUUUGAAAAAAUCCUACCGAGUGGUGNNNNNNNNNNNNNNNNNNNNNNNNNNNNNNNNNNNNNNNNNNNNNNNNNNNNNNNNNNNNNNNNNNNNNNNNNNNNNNNNNNNNNNNNNNNNNNNNNNNNNNNNNNNNNNNNNNNNNNNNNNNNNNNNNNNNNNNNNNNNNNNNNNNNNNNNNNNNNNNNNNNNNNNNNNNNNNNNNNNNNNNNNNNNNNNNNNNNNNNNNNNNNNNNNNNNNNNNNNNNNNNNNNNNNNNNNNNNNNNNNNNNNNNNNNNNNNNNNNNNNNNNNNNNNNNNNNNNNNNNNNNNNNNNNNNNNNNNNNNNNNNNNNNNNNNNNNNNNNNNNNNNNNNNNNNCUAAGUUUGAAAAAAACCUACCGAGUGGUGAGCAAGCCUCUCACUCGGGGGCUUAGUUGUAGUCCAGUACUCGCCUAAGUUUGAAAAAUCCUACUGAGUGGUGAGAAAGCCUCUCACUCGGGAGCUUAGCUGCAGUCCAGUACUCGCCUAAGUUUGAAAAAUCCUACCGAGUGGUGAGCAACCCUCACACUUGGGGGCUUAGUUGCAGUCUAGUACUCGCCUAAGUUUAAAAAAUCCUACCGAGUGGUGAGCAACCCUCACUAUCGGUGUCAAAACCGGCGGAUCUCGGGUAGGGGGUCCCGAACUGUGCGUCUAGGCUGGAUGGUAACAGGAGGCAGGGGACACAAUGUUUUACCCAGGUUCGGGCCCUCUUGAUGGAGGUAAAACCCUACGUCCUGCUUGAUUAAUAUUGAUGAUAUGGGUAGUACAAGAGUAGAUCUACCACAAGAUCAGAGAGGCUAAACCCUAGAAGCUAGCCUAUGGUAUGAUUGUUGUCGUAGUUGUUGUGUCCUACGGACUAAAACCCUCCGGUUUAUAUAGACCCUGGAGAGGGUUAGGGUUACACAAGGUCGGUUACAAAGGAGGAGAUCUACAUAUCCGUAUUGCCAAGCUUGCCUUCCACGCCAAGGAAAGUCCCAUCCGGACACGGGACGAAGUCUUCAAUCUUGUAUCUUCAUAGUCCAAGAGUCCGGCCAGAGGUUAUAGUCCGGCUAUCCGGACACCCCCUAAUCCAGGACUCCCUCAGUAGCCCCCGAACCAGGCUUCAACGAUGAUGAGUCCGGCACGCAGAUUGUCUUCGGCAUUGCUAGGCAGGUUCCUCUCCAAAUUCCGUGUACCUAUUUAAAUAGUGUCCGGCUUCUUGUGAAUGUCGCGCUCCUUGGCUUCCACGCCCAAUAAUGGCCACUUUCCACGUGUCGAGCGAAUGUGAAGAGCCAGGGUGAUUUUACAUUUACCCCCCUAGCUGUGUGAAUGAGCUGCCUAUUAAAAAGACGAGGAUUCAGAUCCAAAUCACACCAUCCUCCCUUGGCGAGCCUUCAUCGGAGCACAUUCGAUAGAGAUCCAUUCCAUCAUGGCCGGUCGACGCAGCUCCUCCUCUCGCUCCCCUAGCCCCAAGCCUGGAGAUUGGGAGAGAUGUUCCGUCCCACACAGCAAAUUAGUGAUGCUUCAGACCAAGGGAUUUCUUCCCCCAGCAUACAUGGUCCCGGUUCGAGCCGGGCUUGCCACCUAUAAUGGCGGAGAGCAAGCGGAGAGCCUUCCCAAUCCCUCCAAGGGAGAGCGGGUAUGCCUUGUCCCUCAUUUGGUAAGAGGGCUUGGAUUUCCAAUUCAUCCGUUUCUCCGGGGGCUCCUGGAGUUCUACGGCCUCCAGUUGCACAACCUUACGCCUGCCUCCAUAUUACAUAUCGCGGGCUUCGUAGCCCUUUGCAAGCUGUUUUUGGGCUAUGAGGCUCAUUUCGCGUUGUGGAAGGAGCUGUUCUGCCUCGUGCCCCGUUCUCAGAAGGGGUCAAUAUAUCAAGUGGGCGGAGCCGAAGUGUGGCGUAUUGCCGGGACCAGAUAUCUAUCCGGAACCCCAAAGAAGACGUCUGAAGACUGGCCUUCAGAAUGGUUUUAUAUAGAAGACGUCCCCCUCCCGGACCCUAUUCGAAUCGGCCUCCCUGAGUUCGACAACGCUCCUUUGAAGAAGCGCUGGAGCUGGCGUUCACGGAGACCCCAAGAGGAAGAUGACAGGGACGUUCUUUACCUGAUGAGCCGGAUAAGUUUGUUAGCUCGAUCCGGAUUGACCAUGAUCGAGGUCAUGGCCACAUGUAUUAUGCGGGGGGUGCAGCCACUUCAGUAUAGAGGCCACCCCAUGUGGGACUUCAACGGGGAGGAUGACGCCACCCGCUAUGGCCGUAAAGGGCCGGAAUUGGUUGCUGCUCUAAUAAAGAUCUUAUCCACUUUGUACAAGGGAGAAGAGGAGGAAUUCCUCCACGUCAACCCGCACGGCGGAUUUUCUAUGUACAAUCCUCCGAGCUGGGUAAGCGGACACUUUUUCUCGCCCAUCCGUUUCAUAUUCCCAUAGUUAAGUAUUCAGUCUAGCGAUUUCAACACAGGAGCUGCGCCAGGCUGUAAGGGAGAUAAACAGCCCUCCUCCACAACCCGAGGACCCGAAAUGGUCCCUUGACCCGGCCUCCCAAGAGGAUCCGGACAUAUUUGUGGAGCUGAUCGAUGGGGUAUUUUACCAAUUGAGCAAUGACAACGCCUUUGUGGCCAUUACGGCCGAUUACCCUGGGCUACUUCCAGCCUCACAGGUAACUGAGACCGAAGUCCUAGUACUUUGAAAAGGGAUCCGUCCUUGCGUGUUUUUGAUCACCGUAUAACAAUCGUGUUUCGCAGGGGAGGUCCUCGAGGCGGAAGGCCGAGCCUGUGGCGACUAGCCAACAAGGGGCCGCGAGGCCAGGCAGGUUGAAAAGAGACGCGGUCUGGAUUGAGACACCGGCAUAGCGGUACGGCACGCCGUCUUUAUUCCAAGACAUUAUUCUCAGAGGCAUACUAACGCCCAUGCCUUCUUUUUAGGAAAAAGAGUGCUCGCCGGACUAUAUCCGAAGAGGCUACUAAUCGCGCCUCCACCAGCCAGGAUCCAAGGCCGGAUUCGGAGGCGGGAACGAAUACGAGGCGUGCGUCGGGCGCUCCUCCGACAGAGGAUGCGGAUAGACUGUCCGCCACCAAUUCCGAGGUGGAAAGUGCCAUGAACCACAGGCGUCACUGGACUGUUCUUCGUGACGCUUGUUUCUCCCAAGAGGCAUUGGUUGCCUUCAACUCGGGAGAUGCGUACCUCUGUGCCGCUCAAAAUGGUCUAGCCAGAGCCAUGGAGCAGUAUGUAAAAGACAUACGGGUGAGAAAAUUUGGUGAUUAUAUAUAUCAGUAGCCCCUUAGACUUGAAACAGUUAGAAUAACUGAUUUAAGGAUCAUUUGUUAUGCAGGUUCUUACAGAAAAGAAUACCCAACUGUCCCAGGAGCUAGAAGAGUGCAAAGCCCAACUUCAGGCCGCACUAGCCGCAGCAGGGGAGCCCAAAGAGACCCCCUCUGGUAAUAUAUCCUACAGUAUCAUAUAAAGUGCGGCGUAUAUGCAGAUCUGACGAUAAAAUUGCAGAUGACGCUGGAGUAAAUCAGGAUAAGCAACAGCUCCAAUGUCAGCUGAAGGCUGGUGAGAGCGUGCUUACAAGGGCGAGGCAGGAGAAGAAUGAUCUCCUAGAUGCCAACACCAAGCUGGGCGUGGAACUAAAGGAUGUUCGUGCCCAACUGUCGGACUCCAUUAAGGAGAAUCGGUGGCUUCGACGCGGCAUAUUAAGUAAGUGCUUGAACGAACUUUGAAAAAGAGUUCGGCGAGGAAGUCGAUUAACAGCGUUAUGUAUGUAGGUAUGCUGACGGGUCGUCCCGCGGAGGAAAUGCCCAGGUCUGCGGGUGAUCUUCUGUCCGAGCUGUCACAUCUGCACGAACAAGUUCGACAUGUGAUGCAAGGUGUUGCCCAGGCUUUAUGGCCAUCUGUCUCCUUGCCAGAGGGCGUUGCAGAGCUUACGGAGAAGCUCAAGGGAACACGGCGGCGCCUCCGAUUAUGGAAGAUAUCGGCCUGCCGACAGGGUGCCAGAGAGGCCUAGGUCAUGGUGAAGACUCGGUAUACCAAGGCAGAUCCAAAUCACAUGGCCGAGGUCGGACCUGUGGGGCCCGACGGAAAAGAUAUCCCUGUUAGCUUAGUUUAUGGGCAAUUAGAAUUAGCCGCAAAGUAUUCCCAACAGGAUUGUAAGCUAGACCGCCUGUUGGAUGGUAUAGAAGAGGAGUUUAGUCAGUCUGCAUGACUAUGUAAUUAAAGUGACAUGUAUAAUGCCUUCUAGCCGGAUUGUAGAUCAUUUGUCGUUGCGGACUUUUUCGCUUCAACCUCCGGGCCCGAUAGUCCGGAGUGAAUCCGAAUACCCGCUCAGUUAUAUAAGAACUGGGGUAUGCGUGGAGACCAGGCGUAGGGGUCAUUAGUGCUUUAUCAGACAAGUGCCCAACUAGUUAUGUUAUAUUACAUGGGUAGUAAGAAACAUCUUCCAGGGAGAAUAGUUCCGUUAAGGGUUCCUUUCCCUGGGUAAGCAUGCCCUAAAGUGCAUGUCCGGACUGCGAUAAGAAACGCAGAAAAAGCAUCUGGGGGCAGAUAUGGAUAAUAAGUAAAAGUCCUCUUUUGUUCACCGACCGAAUAUUCCCUUAAGAACGCUAGCUUUUGGCUUCACCCAGUCUGAGGUACACAUCCGGCUGACCCGGCAGUAACAAUCGCAGAGGUGCUCCCCUUAUGCCCUAGCCGAAUUAACGGGAACGUGGGGCAUAAAUACAAGAGCCAGGCAACCCAGCUUGGCGAAACUUAAGUCAUAUCGAUGCAUAUAAUGGUGAAAAAAGGUACAUGCGAAAGUGUAACACAUGUGUUGGGCGUGAGGCCCAGGUAAAUAAUUUAAGCUUCUGUGAAAGAAGCCCCCAGGUAUGGAGAGUGCGGCUAGCGCAUCUGUAAUGUACAAGUGAGGCACAAGGUGACCCUUGAAGGCCUACAGAAAUAAUAAGAAAAAGAAAGAAAGGGAAACAAGACAGAUGAUGCAUAUGCAGAAAAUGGACAAAGGGAGGGGACUAACAUAGAGUCCGGUGCUAGGCAUAGAAUCUUCGGAGCCUCGCUGCGUUCCAUGGGUUCGGCUCGAAUCGACUAGUCAAUGCAUCCCGCAGUCGGUAUGCUCCACCGGUCAGAACUUGGUUGAUAAUGAAGGGACCUUCCCAUUUGGGCUCGAGCUUGUUCUUUUUCUUAUCCGGUAGGCGUAGAACUAGUUCGCCAACGUUAUAAGUUUUGGCCUGUACUUCUCUACUUCCGUAUAUGCGAGCCUGUUGCUGGCAAAAUGCGGAACGAGCUUUGGCUACGUCGCGAUCUUCCUACAAGGUGUCCAGACUGUCCUGCCGAUCGAGCUCGGCUUCUCUUUCUUCGUACAUGCGCACUCGAGGUGAGUCAUGAAAUAUGUCACAGGGCAAGACUGCCUCUGCGCCGUACACCAUAAAAACGGUGUAUAUCCGGUACUACGAUUCGGCGUGGUCCGCAGCCCCCAGAGUACGGAGUCGAGCUCCUCCACCCAGUGCGUGUCAGACUCCGUUAAGGAACGCACUAAUCUGGGUUUAAUGCCGCUCAUUAUAAGACCGUUUGCUCGUUCGACUUGACCAUUGGUUUGUGGGUGAUAGACUGAAGCAUAAUCGAGCUUGAUGCCCAUUUUGCUGCACCAGAGUUUUACCUCGUCGGCCGUGAAGUUCGUGCCGUUAUCAGUGAUGAUGUUGUGGGGGAUACCGUAACGGUGUACAACCCCGGAUAUGAAAUCUAUCACCGGUCCGGAUUCAGCUGUUUUAACUGUUUUAGCCUCUAUCCAUUUGGUGAAUUUAUCCACCAUGACCAAUAAGUAUUUUUUUCUUGUGGGUUCCCCCUUUAAGGGGUCCAACCAUGUCAAGCCCCCAGACCGUGAAGGGCCAUGUAAUGGGGAUUGUUUGGGGGGUGGUGGGUGGCAUGUGGCUUUGAUUUGCAAAGAGCUGGCAACCGGCGCAACGUUGGACCAAGUCCUGUGCAUCUGCCCGGGCCGUUGGCCAAUAGAAUCCUGUACGGAAGGCCUUGCUUCAAGAGCCCGGGCUGCGGCGUGAUGACCGCCGAGUCCGGCAUGAAUUUCUGCCAAAAGAUUCCGCCCUUCCUCUUCGGAGAUGCACCUUUGAAGGACUCCGGUAGUGCUCUUCUUGUAUAAUUCUCCCUCAUGGACCCUGUAGGCCUUGGAUCACCGCACUAUGCAGCGUGCCUCAUUUUGGUCCUCCGGAAGUUCCUGUCUAGUUAGGUAGGCCAGGAAUGGUUCUGUCCACGGGGCAAUAAUGGCCAUUAUUUCAUGAGCUGAAGGUGUUAUUUCGGUGGCGGAGCCUCCGAUUGUGUCAGAGAGUUCGGUAUCGGGUAUUUUGGCCGGGUCCGGACUGUUGUUACCGGUGUCCCCUUCCCAUGCUACGGAUGGCUUGAAGAGCCUUUCCAGAAAUAUGUUGGGAGGGACCGCGUCGCGUUUUGCGCCGAUGCGGGCUAGGAUAUCCGCCGCCUAAUUUUUUUCCCGAGCCACAUGGUGAAAUUCGAGUCCCUCAAACCGAGCUGGCAUUUUGAGGACGGCAUUUCGAUAGGCCGCCACUUUCAGAUCUUUGGCAUCAAAAUCUCCAUUUAUUUGGGAUAUUGCGAGGUUUGAAUCCCCACACACCUCCAGGCAUUGAAUGCCCAUGGAGACUGCCAUCCGAAGACCAUGCAACAGAGCUUCGUAUUCGGCUGCAUUGUUGGAAUCUGUAUACAAUAUUUGCAGUAUGUACCGAACGGUAUCUCCGGUUGGGGACGUCAGGACGACGCCAGCCCCUAGACCGGCCAGCAUUUUAGAACCGUCGAAGUGCAUGAUCCAAUUGGAGUAUGCGCCGUACUCUUUAGGGAGUUCGACCUCCGUCAUUCGGCGACGAAGUCGGCCAGUACUUGCGAUUUAAUGGCUCGGCGAGGUUUGUAUGUUAUGUCGAAUGGGAGGAGCUCAAUGGCCCAUUUGGCAAUCCGGCCCGUAGCGUCGCGGUUGUUGAUAAUAUCAUUAAGUGGCACUUCCGAGGCUACUAUAAACGAACACUCUUGAAAGUAGUGUCGUAGUUUCCGUGAUGCCAUGAAUACCGCAUAUGCUACUUUUUGGUACUGCGGGUACCGUGAUUUGCAUGGAGUGAGGACAGUGGAUACAUAGUAUACCGGCUUUUGAAGAGGGAAUUUGUGUCCGUCCGUUUCCCGUUCGACAACGAGCACCACGCUUACAACUUGAUGAGUUGCCGCAAUAUACAACAUCAUAGGUUCGCCGAUGUUUGGUGUGGCCAGGAUCGGGUUGGUUGCUAGAAUGGCCUUUAUUUCUUCCAAUCCGGGUGUGGCCGCGUCCGUCCACUCGAACUGUUUAGUGCGCCGAAGGAGGCGAUAAAGGGGUAAAGCCUUUUCUCCCAAGCGGGAGAUAAAGCGGCUUAGAGCCGCCGCACAUCCAGUUAGCUUCUAGAUUUGUUUGAGGUCUGUUGGGUAGCUGUCGGUGUCAAAACCGGCGGAUCUCGGGUAGGGGGUCCCGAACUGUGUGUCUAGGCCGGAUGGUAACAGGAGGCAAGGAACACGAUGUUUUACCCAGGUUCGGGCCCUCUUGAUGGAGGUAAAACCCUACGUCCUGCUUGAUUAAUAUUGAUGAUAUGGGUAGUACAAGAGUAGAUCUACCACGAGAUCAAGGAGGCUAAACCCUAAAGGCUAGCCUAUGGUAUGAUUGUUGUAUGAUGAAGUUGUCCUACGGACUAAAACCCUCCGGUUUAUAUAGACACCGGAGAGGGUUAGGGUUACACAAAGUUGGUUACAAUGGUAGGAGAUCUUGAAUAUCCGCAUCACCAAGCUUGCCUUCCACGCCAAGGGAAGUCCCAUCCGGACACGGGACGAAGUCUUCAAUCUUGUAUCUUCAUAGUCCUGGAGUCCGGCUGAAGGUAUAGUCCGUCUACCCGAACACCCCCUAAUCCAGGACUCCCUCAGUAGCCCCUGAACCAGGCUUCAAUGACGACGAGUCCGGCACAUAGAUUGUCUUCGGCAUUGCAAGGUGGGUUCGUCCUCCAAAUUCUUCAUAUAAGUUUGUAAACACCAAGAGUAGUGUCCGGCUCUGCAAAAUAAGUUUCCACGUAUUGCCAUAGAGGGAAUAAUAUUAACACAAAUCUAAUCUGCUGACGUAUUCCGCAGCGUGACAUCACAUUACGGCCAAGCCUUUAUUCGAAUCGUUUUCACUUUUCCACCUCAGCGUGUUUUGCGAGGCGGUUUCCUUGGCACGUCUUGUCAAAGCAGAGAUCGUGUCCCCCAUUUACGGGAUUCUCAUCAAUACGGACAUGGGUAACCCAACCGCGCCAUCUAUCACGGCGCUUGGGAGGCAAGCGAGUUUUACUAGGCUGGUGGGGAUGCAUAGUCGCAUCCGCUCAUAUAAGGGGAUAAGGAUCCACCUUUUUACCUACGCCUUCUUCCUCCUUUGCCUAUCCAUCUUCUGCGCACCCGAGCUCCAGCGCCCAAGCCUGCACUUCCUACCUCAACCUUCUCCAACAAUGUCCGGAGCGGGAGGCAAGUGGAUGGUCUCCUCCGUCACGGAGGGCCAUGUCAAAAGGCUAAGGAAGGCCGGAUACCUGUCCAAAGACAUCGCGCACCAGCUUCCUGAGGAGGGGCAGCUUCUCCCCAUCCCAAGGCCCCAUGAGAGGGUAGUAUUUCUUCCCCACUUCCUCCGCGGACUGGGUUUUCCUCUCCACCCAUUUGUCCGCGGGUUCAUGUUCUACUACGGCCUAGAUUUCCAUGAUCUGGCCCCAAACUUCAUCCUCAAUAUCUCGGCAUUUAUCAUCGUGUGCGAGGCUUUCCUCUACAUCCGCCCCCAUUUCGGCCUCUGGCUCAAGACCUUCAACGUCAAGCCAAAGGUGGUGCGCGGCAACCAGGUGGAGUGCGGAGGUGCCAUGGCGGGAAAAAUAGCCAAUGUCCUAUGGCUCCAGGGCUCCUUUGUGGAGACCUUGAAGGGGUGGCAGUCAGGGUGGUUUUACAUCACCGAGCCACGCGAUCCGAAGUGGAUCGCAGCCCCUGAAUUCCGAUCCGGACCCCCUACGCGGCUCACGUCCUAGAAGGAGACGGGCUUGUCGUCGGGCGACGAAGAAGAGGUGACCGGACUGCAAAAAUGCAUCCAGUCCCUGGUGAACAAGCAGCUCAAGCUUGUCAACAUAGUCCAGGUCAUGCUCGUCCGCCGGAUCCUUCCGUGUCAAGAACGGGACUUCAAUUUGUGGGAGUUCAACCCGGCGCAGCACCGAACUCUGAGCAGGCUCUUCGACACGAUGUAUGAAGAUGUCUGGAAGGGGCUAACCAAAGGCGCCGAGGCUCCCACAUCCGCCUCUGAAGACCGCGGAUUCAGCUCGCAGCGUCUUGCUGGCGAGGUAAAAUAUUUUCAUCUUUUACAGGAUGUUAAGUUUUCUUCAUAGUUUGACUCUAUGCGGGAUCUAAACUCCCUCACCUUUGACAGGAUUGGCAGGCGAAGUCCGGAAUGAUUAACUGUCCGGCUCCCUUGCCCGAAGACCCAGCCCCUGCUCUCCUAGUGAAGCUGCUGGUUCCGGCACCUUAUGUGGUGCCAGAGAAGAAGGCCAAGAAGAAGAAGGCCACGGGGACUCAAAAGAGUUCCCGGCAUAUGGUGGUGUCGGACUCGUCGCCCGAUGAGUCCGAGAUGCACUCCUCCCGUGAAGAUGAGGAGGAGGAAGAAGAAACCUAGUGGGGGAUGAAAGAAGAGGAAGGCCACCCCAGUAGGGGAGGCCGAGGGGUCCAAGAAGAGGAAAACCCCUCUGCCGGACUACGCCCCCGACGCCGACGAGGACGAAGAGGAGUGGCCGGACAGGGCCAAGCAUCCGGCAAAAUUAUAAGUGUUCGGAUACCAGAGUAACUCGUGAUAUUCCUUUUGUUGCAUAGCUUUCCCUAAUGUCGAAUAUAAUCAUGCAGCCCGCCCAAGGACGGGCUCGACGAGUCGUCGAGCGGCUCCCUGGAUUCAUCGGACGUGAAUUCAGUUCCACCUGCUGCCUCCCCCUGUGCUGCGGAUGACGCCGAAGUGGCGUCGCGACAAGCUCCGGGGCAAGAGGAGGUGGUCCAGGAGGAGCCGCAAGGCAACCUCCCGGACUCCAGGAGUAAAGGGGACAAGACCCCCCAGGGCUCCAAGUCCGGCUUUAAGCUGGACACCGCGCCAGAAUCAUCAACGGUUCCGGACCGCGGCAGGCGAACUCCUGCCAAGAGGAGCAAGCCUAUUGAGCCGGCGUCCUCCGUCCAACCGGAGGCGCCGGACAAUCUGCUGGAGGUGCUUAAGGGCGCCUCCAUCGACGAGGAGCACCGUACCAUCAUGAGUACGGUGAUCCAGAAGGUUCGGUCCGCCAAAAGCGGACUUACUGAAGCUUGUGCUAGCCUUCUAACAGGCUUCGAGGUAAGUAAAAAUAUGUAAAAAUAUUACCGCAUAGACAGUAGCCCCUGAUGCUCUGUUUGGCGUUCGGAAAGAAAAGCCGAAUAGAGGAUCUAUUAAAUAUCGCAGGAGUCUAACUAGAAAGAGUCAAUAUAUGUAUGCAGGCUUCGCUGCUGGCCACCGCCGCACUAACUGCGGAGGUGGGUGCCCUGAAGCAGGGCCUCGAGCGGACCGAGCAAGAGAUCGGCCUUGCCAAACGGCAGCUCGAGGAGAAAGAAGGUAAGAGAUACCUUAUAGAAAAAAUGCCUAUAAGAGGACGCAAUUGCAAAAAAUGACAGGACUAUACUGCUUAUUGUAGGGGCCACAACUGAGGUGGCGACCCUUAAGCAGGCACUGUUCGAGGCCAAGAAGAGAGCGGCCACGGAGCGCACCGAGCGGGAGAAAUUUGAGGCGCAGGUCGGUGAGGUGCAGCAAGAGCUUCAGGCUCUCAUGAAAAAACAUGAGAGUUUGGAGCUCGACUCGAAGACGCGAGCGUCCGAGCUUGCUGCGGCCCUUAAAACUGCCGAAUCUGCCAAGGCCGAAACCUAGAAGGCCCUCCAAGAAUUGGAUGCGGUGAAGAAGAUAGCGGCGGGUAAGGCAUUCUCUAUGCAAAGCAGACAUAUAAAAGUAAACUACUUGUUACUUACCCGAAUCUGGAGCUCUCCAGGGGCAUUCACAGAUCUUCCCCGCAGCGUAUCCGAUGCCGCCGCAUUCUACUGAGCCGAGGAAGGCAGCUCGAUGGAGAAGGUAUUCUGGUCUCAGUACGCUGAGGCCGGACACCCUGUGCCCUUGAGCGACCAGCUGAAGCAGCUGGUCGAGCUCCACAAGGCGGCCGAACAGGCCCUGAAGGGCUUCAUAGUUCGGCUGUGGCCUGGAGAGGCCCUGCCUGGGAGCUACUUUGGACUGGUGCGGCGGCUGGUGGAGGCUUUUCUAAGGCUCGAGGUCAUCAAGCGCUCCGUCUGCAUCGAAGGUGCCCGUAGGGACCUUGCCCGUGCAAAGGUGCACUAGGGUAAGCUGGACGGCGAGAAGCUUGUGAGGGACGAGCCGUCGCCGGGGAAGGAGCAUCGCAAGCCCGAGAACUAUUACAAGGAUGUUCUGGCUGGUGCCCGCCUUAUGGCGGAUGAAUGUACCAUGGAUGUAAUUUUUGAAUGAACUCGCUCGUGUUAUCCUGUGCGCUGAAAACUUGUUCAUAUGCGCUAAGCAAUGCUUGAAUUUAAAAUAUUACUUUCUGUGCGGCCGUUUAUCAAAAAAUUGAGAGAUGGCCAGUCGUCGGCUUCUGCCCCCAUGCCACUAGUGUUGGGGUGUUUGGGAUAAACCUGAGCGCUCUUUUUCCCAUGAUUGGGUCCGUCGAGGGAGGCGCUCGGCACAACGAACAAGGCAAUCGGACUAUAAUGCUUGAACACUCUCACUUAGCCAUAGAACUCUAUAAUUUUAAAUUUCGGCGAAGCCCCUAGUAUUCGGAAGACCGAGUUCGGGGCGCUAUCCACGCCUUGGCCGGACAAAGCCGGUUCCUCGCUCGAAGCGGCAUAAGUCUUUAAGGACUCGAAAAACCUCUCGAACAGCGACCGGUCUCUUGCCUCAUCAUGACAGUCAGUUUUAGCUUUCUCUACUGAGGUGCUUCACAAUCGCAGUAGUUCUCCUAGUGCUACCUUAGCCGAUAUAGCGGAACGUAAGGCACCAAAACAUAGGAGCCGGGCAAACCCAACUAUUGACCCAAAUCAUGAUUCGGAGCCGAUGCAUAUAGUGCUAUAAGUUCGGGGUGCCGCACUUGUGAAAGUGCACGGACUUCUCACGCCAUAUUGAUGGGUACUGAAGCCACUGGCGUAUUUUGCCGUACAACAGUGUACGGAUGCAGCAUGUUAUUAAUAAACAUAUAUAUAAAAAUGGGAUAAUGCAAAAAUAGACAAAAAGCUAUACCUUGUUUAUAGAAAGGCUGCUAUGAAAGCGGAACGAUACAAAUAGUGCGAUAAGCAAAAGAAAUUGGACUAUUUAACAUGUCCUGGCCAGGGGCAGGCCGCGGAAUUGUAUUAAAAAACAGGUAUACUGCUCGCAAUAGAGACCACCUGGGAGUUCCAUAAUGCGGCGUGGCUUGUCUGCUUUCCUGGAUCUUGCAUCGUUUGUGCGGCAGUUGAAUUGCCGAACGGGUCAUCCGAAGUAUGGAGUCCUGAGAGUAAGAGAAAAAAAGAAAAAAAAGGAAUCUGGCAGCCCCUGGUGCGGUUUAAGCCGUAUUUCGGGCGUGCCGUGAUAGUGCCCCUUCCCCUGUGCCCAUGGUAUUUCAAGAGCGUAGUUAUGUACGCGAAGCACUGGUUUCGCUAUACCGCGAGGGCUAGGGUUGGGGCCGCAUUGCUACGCUAGCUCAGAACGUGCCAGGCGGUCUUGUUGUAGGGUACUCCGUGCGCGCUUGGCAGUGUCCGGCUUUUUGAAGGCCGAACUAGAGAACUGCCUAGAGAGGCUGCUUUGUACUUCUGCUGCGAGCGCUGCCGUGUGCUCCUCCGUUCGGAGGGAGCGUUCGAUGUUCCCAUUAACCGUGAUUACUCCUCUAGGGCCUGGCAUCUUGAGCUUGAGGUAUGCAUAGUGCGGUACCGCGUUGAAUUUUGCGAAUGCGGUUCGCCCGAGCAGUGCGUGAUAGCCACUACGGAACGGGACUAUGUCGAAGAUUAACUCCUCGCUUCGGAAGUUAUCCCGAGAUCCGAAGACCACUUCCAGUGUGACUGAGCCUGUACAGUUGGCUUCUACACCUGGUAUGACGCCUUUAAAGGUCGUUUUGGUGGGCUUGAUCCUUGAGGGAUCUAUGCCCAUUUUUCGCACUGUAUCCUGGUAAAGCAGGUUUAGGCUGCUGCCGCCGUCCAUGGGGACUCUUGUGAGAUGAAAUCCGUCAAUGAUUGGGUCUAGAACCAAUGCGGCGAAGCCGCCGUGGCGGAUGCUAGUGGGGUGGUCCCUUCGAUCAAAGGUGAUCGGGCAGGAGGACCAUGGGUUGAACUUUGGGGCGACUGGCUCUAUCGCAUAUACUUCCCAUAACGCAUGCUUUCGCUCCCUCUUGGGGAUGUGGGUUGCGUAUAUCAUGUUCACCGUCCGCACUUGCGAGGGAAAUCCCUUCUGUCCACUGUUAUUCGGCGGCCUGGGCUCCUCCUCAUCGUCGCAAUGCAGCCCCUUGUCUUUGUUUUCUGCUCUUAACUUGCCUGCCUGCUUGAACACCCAACAGUCCCUGUUGGUGUGAUUGGCUGGCUUUUCGGGGGUGCCAUGUAUCUGGCACAAGCGGUCGAGUAUUCGGUCCAAACUGGACGGGACCUGAGUAUUUCUUUUGAAUGGAUUUUUCCGUUGACCGGAUUUGUAGCCUCGGAAUCCGGCAUUAACUGCCAUAUCCUCGUUGUUGUCGCUGUUAAUGUGGCGCUUUUGUUUGUUCCGACGUGACCUGUCGCUUUUGUCCUUGGUAUUCGAAUUACCAGGGUUCUCGGUUAAAUUGUUGCUGCGAGCUAGCCAGCUGUCUUCUCCCGCGCAAAAGCGGGUCAUGAGUGUCGUGAGGGCUGCCAUAGAUUUUGGCUUUUCCUGUCCCAGGUGCCGGGCAAGCCACUCAUCACGGAUAUUAUGCUUGAAGGCCGCUAAGGCCUCUGCGUAUGGACAGUCGACUAUCUGGUUUUUCUUUGUUAGGAACCGUGUCCAGAAUUUCCUGGCCGAUUCCUCUGGCUGCUGAAUUAUGUGGCUUAGGUCAUCGGCGUCCGGUGGCCGCACAUAAGUGCCUGGAAGUUGUCAAGGAAUGCGGCUUCCAGGUCCUCCCAAGAACCGAUUGAGUCUGUUGGCAAGCUGUUAAGCCAAUGCCGGGCCGGUCCCUUAAGUUUGAGUGGGAGGUAUUUGAUGGCGUGUAGAUCAUCACCGCAGGCCAUGUGGAUAUGAAGGAGAUAAUCCUCGAUCCAUACUGCAGGAUCUGUUGUGCCAUCGUAUGAUUCGAUGUUUACGGGUUUGAAGCCCUCAGGGAUUUUAUGAUCCAUUACUUCAUCUAUGAAGCAUAGUGGGUGUGCGGUGCCUCUGUAUUGGGCUAUAUCACGACGCAGCUUGAAGGAGCUUUGUCGGUUGAGUUCGGGCCGGCCGGAUUCAUUACGUCCGGAGUGACGAUCACCGUCACGUGUCGUGGGGUGCCUGCGCAAUCCGUAGAUCGAUCUUGUUUGCCUUGCCUUGUCCUCUAGUAUGUCGCGCAGGUCGGGUGCAUUUUCCCGUGCCUUAGUAUGCUUGACACCGGGGCAUGGCUUGAGUGGAGGGCCGAGAGGCCUCUCUGUCGCGGCCACGAGGUGGCCGGUCGGCCAUGUCAUGCGUUGGUGAUGUAGGUGCUUCCUCCUCUAGUCGGGGUAGCAGCCUGCGCUUUGGGUAACUCUUGGAGGGGCGUUCGAGUUCAUACUCUUCGGCUGCAAGGACUUCAGUCCAUCUGUCAGCUAGCAAAUGCUGAUCAGCUCUAAGUUGUUGCUGCCUUUUCUUGAGGCUGCUUGCCGUGGCCAUAAGCCUGCGUUUAAAACGCUCUUGUUCGGCGAGAUCCUCUGACACGACGAACUCGUCGUCAUCGAGGCUUGCCUCAUCUUCGGAGGGAGGCGUAUAAUUAUCGUCCUCAACCUCUUGGUCCGCCGCCCUCUCGUGCGGGCUGGCUUCUCUGUCCUCCUAUGCUAAGUCUUGCUGGAGGGGGUGUUCUUCGGCGCUAUCCGGAGUAGUAUUAUCUCCCGUGCCGGAAUCACCGUUUUUGCUUUGGCAGGAUUUAGAGCGGCGCCGCUCACGCUGGCGCUUGGGCUGUUUCUUAGAGGUAUCGUCCCCCGCUGUUCCAUCGCCAUCUCCAUCCUUUGGAGUGUCCACCAUAUAUAUGUCAUAUGACGAGGUGGCCUUCCAGCGCCCUACAGGUGCUGGUUCUUGUUCGUUUCCUGCAUCGUCGUCCAUGCCGUCGAUGUCUUCGGAGUCGAAGUCAAGCAUGUCGGUUAAGUCGUCGACAGUGGCUACGAAAUGGGUGGUGGGUGGGUUUUGAAUUUCUUCGUCGUCCGUAUCCCAACCUUGCUGACCAUAGUCCGGCCAGGGCUCUUCUGAUAAAGAGAGAGAGACUUUAGAGAAUUCAGGAUGUCGCCGAAGGGCGAGUGCUGAAAGAUGUCCGCGGCGGUGAACUCCAUUAUCGGCGCCCAAUCGAAUUCGAUCGGCAGGGGCGCGGGGGGCUCGGAGUUUGGAGAGGAAUCCGGCUCCUCGGAGUCACGGGCCAUGCGGAGUACGGGGCUGGAGUUCGGCUCGAUCGCCUCUGAGAUCGCAGCCCCUGAGGCAGCGUCCAACCGCUGAUCCUCGAUCGACGCAGUAGGCUCCGAAUCAGUGGUCGAAACCGAUGCGUGUUCGGUGGCAGAGCUAUAUCAUGCCCAUCGAGACAGUGCGGCGCGCUUGGCUGUCGCUCGAAUCCGUCGAAGAUCAAGUCCCCGCGGAUGUCAGCCGUGUAGUUUAGGCUUCCAAACCUGACCUGAUGGCCAGGGGCGUAGCUUUCGAUCUGCUCAAGGUGGCCAAGUGAAUUGGCCCGCAGUGCGAAGCCGCCGAAGACGAAGAUCUGUCUGGGGAGGAAGGUCUCACCCUGGACUGUAUCGCUAUUGAUGAUCGUAGGAGCCAUCAAGCCUGACGGCGACGACACAGAGGAACUCUCAAUGAAAGCACCAAUGUCGGUGUCAAAACCGGCGGAUCUCGGGUAGGGGGUCCCGAACUGUGUGUCUAGGCCGGAUGGUAACAGGAGGCAAGGAACACGAUGUUUUACCCAGGUUCGGGCCCUCUUGAUGGAGGUAAAACCCUACAUCCUGCUUGAUUAAUAUUGAUGAUAUGGGUAGUACAAGAGUAGAUCUACCACGAGAUCAAGGAGGCUAAACCCUAAAAGCUAGCCUAUGGUAUGAUUGUUGUAUGAUGAAGUUGUCCUACGGACUAAAACCCUUCGGUUUAUAUAGACACCGGAGAGGGUUAGGGUUACACAAAGUCGGUUACAAUGGUAGGAGAUCUUGAAUAUCCGCAUCGCCAAGCUUGCCUUCCACGCCAAGGAAAGUCCCAUCCGGACACAGGACGAAGUCUUCAAUCUUGUAUCUUCAUAGUCCUGGAGUCCGGCUGAAGGUAUAGUCCGGCUACCCGAACACCCCCUAAUCCAGGACUCCCUCAGUAGCCAACUGUGACAACACUCAGAUUUUGGCCGGACUAGCUUCAAUACCUCUACUGGAGACAAUGAAUCCCAGGAGCUUUCCGGCUGGUACGCCAAAAACGCAUUUUUCCGGAUUGAGCUUGAUGUCAUAUGUUCGGAGGUUGUUGAAUGUGAUCCUCAAGUCGUCUAUCAAAGAGUCGACGUGUUUGGUUUUGACAACCACAUCGUCUACGUAUGCCUCUACUGUUUUGCCGAUUUGUUUCUCUAGACAUGUCUGAAUCAUGCGCUGAUAUGUUGCGCCAGCGUUUUUGAGCCCAAAAGGCAUUGUGUUAAAACAGAAGGGGCCGUAUGGCGUGAUGAAUGCCGUUGCGGCUUGGUCGGACUCCGCCAUCUUGAUUUGGUGGUAACCGUAGUAUGCUUCAAGGAAACACAAUCACUCGUGUCCUGCGGUAGCAUCAAUGAUUUGAUCGAUGCGUGGGAGGGGGAAGGGAUCCUUUGGGCAAGCUUUAUUAAGGUCUUUGAAGUCGACACAAAGGCGCUAGUAUUUUUCCUUCUUUUGUACCAUCACCAGGUUUGCUAGCCACUCCGGGUGUUUUAUUUCUUUGAUGAAUCCGGCCUCCAAUAACUUGGCUAGUUCCUCUCCCAUGGCCUGUCUCUUAGGUUCAGAGAAACGCCGAAGAGCUUGCUUGACCGGCUUGAAUCCCUUUAGGAUAUUGAGGCUAUGCUCGGCCAGCCUACGUGGGAUUCCUGGCAUGUCUGAGGGAUGCCAGGCGAAUAUGUCCCAGUUCUCGCACAGGAACUCCCAUAGUGCGGCGUCCACAGCGGGGCUUAGCUAUGCCCCGAUGGAGGCUGUUUUUGUAGGGUCCGUUGGGUGGACUUGGAAUUUGACUAUUUCAUCCGCUGGUUUAAAAGAGGUGGACUUGGAUCUCUUGUCUAGUAUCACGUCGUCCCUGUCCACUGUGGAGCGUAGCGUAGUUAAUUCCUCGGCCGAGAGGGCUUCAGAUAAUGCCUCGAGGGCCAAUGCGACUGUUUUGUUUUUGGCACGGAGUGCUGUGUCUGGAUCGCUGGCGAGAGUGAUGAUUUUGUUGGGCCCGGGCAUUUUGAGCUUCUUGUACGCGUAAUGUGGUACGGCUUGGAAGAUUGUGAAUGCCUCCCGUCCUAAAAGAGCGUGAUAACCACUGCUGAACGGGGCCACUGUGAAUGUAAUUUCUUUGGACCUGUAAUUAUCCGGCGUGCCGAAUACCACAUCUAGUGUGAUUUUCCCAGCACUGUGUGCUUCCCGACUCGGGAUGAUUCCUCUAAAGGUUGUGCUACUUUGCCCAAUGCGGCUCCAGUCUAUUUCCAUCUUUUGAAGAGUUUCCUCAUAGAUAAGGUUUAAUCCGCUGCCGCCGUCCAUGAGUACCUUGGUGAGUCGAAAGCCGUCCACGAUUGGACUGAGGACCAGUGCGGCUGGUGCUCGGGCUGUUCGGAAUUUAGGUUCGUCACUGGCAUUGAAGGUAAUAGCCGUGUCACUCCAAGGAUUUAUUGCUGCUAUGUGGCAGAUUUCGGCCAUGCUGUGGAGUGUUCGCUUGCAUCUAUUAUUUGACGCGAAGGUCUCAAAGACCGUUAACACCGUAUUGUUGUCCAUGGGAUGGUGCUCUGUGGUAUUUGGGAGGAGUAGAUCAUCACCACUUUUGGCCACCUGCCGGAGUAUCCAACAUGCUCUAAGGCUGUGCAUCGGUGUUGCAUCCAUUGUACUGUGAAUUUUGCAGGGUCCGUUGAGCCAUCCCUCCAGUACGGUUCCUUGCCCCGUAGAGGGCUUUUGCUUUUUGGUAGUUAACCCGAGUGUAUUGUGAUAAUGCACCCUUUUAUUUCGGACUGGGUUUGUGUUCAGGGCCGGAUUAUCCCAAAAGUCUGUUUCGGUUUUCCAGGCACUUUCCAUCGCACAGUACUUUCAUACUAUGGACGCCAAGUCAGUGAAGCGUGUUAUCUCACGGCUAUUUAUGGCGUUAAGGAUUCCCUUGUUCGUGCAAUUAUUGCGGAAAAAUAAGAUUGCGUCUUCCUCGCGACAGUCCUUAACCUUGUUCAUCGCAAGGAGGAAUCUGGCCCAGUAGUGAUGUACUGUUUCCUGGGGCUCUUGCCUGAUGUGGGAAAGACCACUUAUGUUUGGGUGGGUGGGUGGAAUUGAAUCCGAACCCUCACCUGAUCUGGGAUCCAGGGGGCGAGGAAUUUCCAAUUUUGAAAGUUCCGAUUCCGGGGUGUAACCCGAUAACCCUGGCCCGCUGCCUGACUCUAAGUUCAGGGAUUGGGUGUUGUCCUCCUGUGAACGGGCGUCCAGCUCAGAGAGCUCGGGAAUCCGGACAUAGUUGGUCCUCAAGAUGGAGGAAAGGUCGCUGGAUUGUUCCUCCACCACUGCAAUAUGAUGGGUGACCGGCGAAGAUUUAAUCUCCCUUUGAUCGGGUUUAAGCCCAAUCCGAUCAUAGUCCAUAGCGACUCCCAGGGCAGCGAUGCGAUCUAAGAGCUCGUUUAAGGAGGCGAGCUCUAUUGGAUCCAUCUGUUCGGCGAGUGCCGAUUUGACGUGGAGGCUGUUUUGGAUGACCCGAGAAGUCAUCAUCAGCGUGGCGGCCGAACAGGCGGUCAUGAUGAAACCUCCUAGCCGGAGAGGUUGGCCGAUAGCCAAAGCUCCCUCGGCAGUAGUACUGUCUUUAAAGACGAGACGAGACAUCCUUCCUUCUGGCGACGGCAUAGAGGAACUCUCAAUGAAAGCACCAAUGUCGGUGUCAAAACCGGCGGAUCUCGGGUAGAGGGUCCCGAACUGUGCGUCUAGGCUGGAUGGUAACAGGAGGCAGGGGACACAAUGUUUUACCUAGGUUCAAGCCCUCUUGAUGGAGAUAAAACCCUACGUCCUGCUUGAUUAAUAUUGAUGAUAUGGGUAGUACAAGAGUAGAUCUACCACGAGAUCAGAGAGGCUAAACCCUAGAAGCUAGCCUAUGGUAUGAUUGUUGUCGUAGUUGUUGUGUCCUACGAACUAAAACCCUCCGGUUUAUAUCGACACCGAAGAGGGUUAGGGUUACACAAGGUCGGUUACAAAGGAGGAGAUCUACAUAUCCAUAUUGCCAAGCUGCCUUCCACGCCAAGGAAAGUCCCAUCUGGACACGGGACGAAGUCUUCAAUCUUGUAUCUUCAUAGUCCAAGAGUCCGGCCAGAGGUUAUAGUCCGGCUAUCCGGACACCCCCUAAUCCAGGACUCCCUCACUCACACUCGGGGGCUUAGCUGCAGUCCAGUACUCGCCUAAGUUUUAAAAAAAUCCUAUCGAGUGGUGAGCGACCCUCACACUCGGGGGCUUAGCUGCAGUCCAGUACUCGCCUAAGUUUGAAAAAUCCUACCGAGUGGUGAACAACACUCACACUUGGGGGCUUAGCUGUGGUCCAGUACUCGCCUAAGUUUGAAAAUCCAAUCGAGUGGUGAGCAAUCCUCUCACUCGGAGGCUUAGCUGUAGUCCAUCACUCGCCUAAGUUUGAAACACAUCCCUAUCCGCAAGGACGACGAGGUGCAGGUCGACUGCAACCUUCUCUUCGGAGCUGCGCCACAAAUACAACAUGCGCUCCAUCCUGAUCUGCAAGGACGACGAGGUGCAGGUCGACUACGACCCUCUCCUCAGAGCUGUGCCACAAGUACAACGUGCGCUCCAUCCUGAUCUGCAAGGACGACGAGGUGCAGGUCGACUGCGAUCUUCUCCUCAGAGCUGCGCCACAAGUACAACAUGUGCUCCAUCCUGAUCCGCAAGGACGAUGAGGUGCAGGUCGAUUGUGACCUUCCCCUCAGAGCUGCAGCACAAGUUCAAAGACUACUCCGAGUGAAGAACAAGUUCCACUCAAAGGCAAACACAAGCAUAUUCAGAGAUAAACCAAGUUCAGAUAAAUCCUAAGGUUCCAGACCAUGAAUUAAAGUACUCGGACAUCAAGCCUUAAGGAGUUUAACGAUUACACGAUCACUCGGCAUUCCGAGGCAAAUAAAGGUGAAGCAUAAUGUUUUUUGAUCACUCGUCAGGGGAAGGACUGGCUGGAUCGCAGAAACUAUCAAGGUCUAUGUUGUCUGCGAUGUGAGUGGCGGCAUCAAGGAAAGUAUCCAUGAAGGACUGGAAGGUGUGCAUUUUGAUGUUGAGAACCUUGAGCCCCGCCAGCUUGUAUUCUUUGACAUCCUUGCAGUGCACUCGGACCAGUGACAGGGCGACAUCAGCGUUGCAGUGAGCAGAUGACUUCUUCCAUUCUUGCACUCGGUCAGGAAUUUGAUUCAGUCGAGCCAUCAGAGACUCGAGGUCUUGAGACAGUUCCGCCUGAGGCCAGAGUUCAGCAUCAACCCGAGUCAUUGCCGCCUUCAGACGGGCAAGAUAAGCAACUGCGUUGUCCAUGUGGGAUUCCAACCGCAGCACAUUCAUCGCGAUGUCAUAUUGACUUGACAGUUUAUGGGAUCGAGAUCCGUCUUGACCCGCCCAGUUUCUGCUUCAAAGUCCUGACAAAGUUCUGCGCGGUUGAGUAAAUAGUGAGUCGACAAUAUAGUAAGAUAUAUCAAUCAACAACAACAAGUCAGUCGAAUAGCAAUACCUUCAAGCUUUAAGACCAGUUUUACAGCAAGCUGGCCCAGAUAAGAUUCUAACUCACCCUUCUUAGCCUUGAGGUUUCCAAUCUCGCCAGUCAGCUUGUCCUUGUCUUUCUUUAGUUGCUCGACCUCCCGAUUGGCAUCAGCGACAACAGUCUUCAGUUUGGAGUUCUCUUCUUCUAACUUGCCGACUGAAGCAAGCUUCUUGUCAGCAAGUGUCGUUUUCUCUCGUGCCUCCUUCUGGGCAGCAGCAAGAUCCAGAUCCUUCUUCUCCAGAGCCUGCUUCAUUUUCUCUAAAGAAACAACAUUCUUCAGACGAGCUUGGAGUUGACAGUUUUCACUACACACAUCUAUUCGAGUGAAGUCACCCGGUUCAAAGUAACUAAAAAACACACGGAAAAGUGCCAGUCGUAAGACGGACAAUUGACGAUUGCUUACCUCCCAUGGCAGCUACUUCGUCACGAGCAGUCUUGCGGUUCUUCUUGGACAGUUCCAGAUCAAGGUUGAGGCUGAUUUGCUACUUGUUUAGUGUAGAAAGUUGAGCCCGAAGAUCAUAAGAUUUCUGCAGUCAACGUAUAAGACAUAUCAGUCGACAGAAACAAAAGAACAUCACAGUGAAAGUUACUCUAAGACUACCACUGAAUCAAACAUUCAACGGUAGUCUUGGGGACUACACCCACUGGGUGCACUUAGCGUGCCCCCACUGGUUUGAUUCAACUCUCGGCAUGGUCUGCCCAGCUCGAGUUGUAAAAAAAGCGAAGAAAGUUGUUCUCAGACCAUAGUCGACUACCCAGAGUCGACCACAAUCUCGGGGACUACACCUAGUGUGUGCACUUAGCGUGCCCCCACUGGUUCAGGUUUCACUCGGCAAGGUCCGCCCAGGCCGAGUGAGAAAAUUUCGAUUCUCAAACCACAGCCGACUGCCCGCAGUCAAUUAUGGUCUCAGGGACUACACACAGUGGGUGCACUCAGCGUGCCCCCACUAGUUCAAAAACUCAAUCGACUCAAUCCAAGUCGACUCAAGUAGAAGACCUAUACAACUUUAAGGCAGACAAACCCUAGUGGGUGAUCGGAUGAGAAAUAAGAUCAGUCGGAAAUCAACUAACCUGGACAUUGGUUUGCAGAGCAGCGCCAGCGUUGUAGGCCACCUAACUGGCCUCAUGCACCACUUUCAUCUGCCCUACCACAAGAUUCAACCAAAGAAGAGCUUCCUGGCGGCACUCGGUAGGUCGUCUGGAGUUUGGUACACAAUGAAAAGCGAUGAUGGCAGGGCAGUCGAAGCAGCCGCUGGGUCUGACACUGGAGUUGUAUUGGAGCAGCAGGGGUCUGAACAGCCAACCCUGAUGGGCAACCAGUCAACAGCGGGAUAGCAAAAGUGAUGUUGGUGCGAGCCGGAUCUGUAGAUCGCUCGACCUCUAUCCCAGGCACCAGUGUCGGCUGAGGAACCUGAACCUCAGGUGCUUUCCCGCUCGAUCCCUUGUUCCUCCUCCUCCUUUCCCUUAGAGGCACUUCUUCUUCAUCAUCUGGAAGCACGACAACGUCUCAUGGAGCUGCAACAAACAGAAAACAUCAGAGAUUCAACCGACGAACAAUCCAAUCGACAGAAUAAAUCCGAGUCGAGUGGACUUACUAGCUUUGGAGGUAGCCGCGUCAUCGGUUUCCUCGUCGUCUGGGGCCUUGUCGAUAUCCAUAUCAGUCACGGUAGAGGCUGGGCUGGAAAAGUUCACCAUCCACUUGGUCAGAACAGAAGAAUCAAUCCAAUCAAGAAAACACGGAAAGAACAUUUACCCAGAGGCAACAAGGACAUCCAUCUUAAUAUUAGGCAAGGUCUUCCGAGCCUUUGAGGGGUUGAAAUUGGGCUGCUUGGUGACUUUCUCCGCCAGCUCCGGAGUUGAAGACCGAGUGCACUUCUGUGCUUGAGCGCUCGAGGCCACAGUCUUGCCACGCCUGCGCGCCGGAUCAUGGUGCUGCUUGGAUCAAUGUUUUGAACGAGGAGGUGAGUCGACUACCUCUUCAUCGUCUAAUUCAUCACUCCCGUCUUCAUCAUCAUCAUCCGGCGAUUCCCAAUCACUACUCUCUUCCGCAUUGUCCUCGCCCUCAUGAUCCUAUUCCAGAGAUUGUUCACCAUUGGGCAUCGAGUACAUCUCUGUAUAAAUCUAAAAGACAAGAAGUCGAGCGGAAAUCAGUCAGAUUCAAAAACAAUCAGAAAAAGUACCAAGUGUAAUCGGUUGUAGCGGUUGAACCUUGUCUGGCUGAUUACUGUUGCUGAAAGGAUCGACUCUCUUGGCGCCCCUGGGGUUGUCCUUGUUUCCCGUAAUACUCCUCAACCAUUGGGCCACUGUUUUGGCCGGCACCUCCUCUGGAUGAACCCGAGCGGUGUCGCCGGCUCUGGAAUACAUCCACAUAGAGUGGUCAUGAGCCUAGAGCGGUUGGAUGCGCCGACUAAGGAAUACCUCCAACAAAUCCAUGCCGGUGACGCCGUGGUUGGUCAGCUGGACCACCCUAUUGACCAGCAUUGCUAUGUCCGCCUUCUCUGCGGCGGUCACUUUCAACGGGGAGGGAGUCUAAACACGAUCGAAGGAGAAAGCGGGAAGUCCAGUCGACUGGCCUGGGGUCACGAUGUCGUGGCAGUAGAACCAGGUCGACUGCCAGCCUGUGACCGACUCAGGAAGAGCCAUCGAAGGGAAAGAGCUUCUCUUCCUCUUCUGGAUACCCAGACCCCCACACAUCUGGAUAAUGUGGGUUUUCUCGUCCGUCGAAUUUGCUUUCUUCACCAUUUGGGAGCGGAUGGUGAAAAUGUGCUUGAAAAGACCCCAGUGCGGUCGACACCCCAAGAAAUUCUCGCACAUGGACACGAAUGCGGCAAGAUAUGUGAUGGUGUUGGGAGAAAAAUGAUGGAGUUGGGCCCCGAAGAAAUUCAAGAAACCCCGGAAAAAAGGGUGCGGAGGAAGCGAGAAACCGCGGUCGACAUGGGGGGCGAGCAGAACACACUCACCCGGUCGUGGCUGCGGCUCCGUCUCCCCUUCCGGCAACCGCACAGCUUUAUGGACGAUCAGCCCGGACUCAGCCAGCUCAUCUAAAUCUUCCUGCCGAAUCGAGGAUCGGAUCCAAUCACCCUGGAUCCAACCCGACGGCAACCCCGACUGCGAUGGCGACCCUUGAUUCGUCUUCUUGCCUUUUGCCUCCCCCGUUGCCUUCACGUGUUCCAGUGUCGCCGUCUUUCCUUCCCCAUGGUGGCGGAGCGGCAGCGUCAAGAGCGAAGGAGCCGGAUGCGGUGGACAGAUUGAGGGAGAAGAAGGAGAAUGGACGUGCAUAGUGCAAGCGCCUCGGCCUCAUCACUUUUAAAGGCCAACUUCCGAGUGGCUGGCGCGCGGGCCCGGGCGAUCCUGUCAAAUCCCUCAACAGUCGCGUGAUACGUCUCCAUCCUAUCUAUAUUUUUUUAUUGUUCCAUGCCAAUAUUAUUCAACUUCAUACACUUUUGGCAACUUUUUAUACUAUUUUUGGGACUAACAUAUUGAUCCAGUGCCUAGUGCCAGUUCCUGUUUGUUGCAUGUUUUAUGUUUCGCAAAAACCCCUUAUCAAACGGAAUCCAAACGGGAUAAAAACGGAUGGAGAAUAUUUUUGGAAUAUUUGGAGAAUUUCGGUAGAAAAAUCCACGUGAGAUGGUGCCCAAGGGAGGCAUGAGGCAGGGGGCGCCCCACCCCUUGGGCGCGCCCCUGAUCCUCGUGGGCUCCUCGUAAAGCGGUUGAUGCCCUUCUUCGGCCAGAAGAAAGCUAAUUUUUGGGGAAAAUCACAGCAAAGAUUUUAGUCCAAUCGGAGUUACGAAUCUCCAUAUAUACACGAAACGGUGAAAGGGCAGCAGAACAGAACGCGGAAACAGAGAGAGACAGAGAGACAGAUCCAACCUCGGAGGGGCUCUCGCCCCUCCCAUGCCAUGGAGACCAAGGACCAGAGGGGAAACCCUUCUCCCCUCUAGGGAGGAGGUCAAGGAAGAAGAAGAAGGGGGGACCUCUCCCCCUCGCUUCCGGUGGCACUGGAGUGCCACCGGGGGCCAUUAUCAUCACCGCAAUCUUCACCAACAACUUCACCGCCAUCAUCACCAACUCUUCCCCCCUCUAUGCAGCGGUGUAACCUCUCUCUUACCCACUGUAAUCUCUACUUAAACAUGGUGCUCAACGCUAUAUAUUAUUCCCCAAUGAUGUAUGGUUAUCCUAUGAUGUUUGAGUAGAUCCAUUUUGUCCUAUGGGUAAUUUGAUGAUCGUGAUUGGUUUUGAGUUGCAUGUUUUAUUAUUGGUGCUGUCCUAUGGUGCUCUCCGUGUCGCGCAAGCGUGAGGGAUUCCCGAUGUAGGGUUUGCAAUAUGUUCAUGAUUUGCUUAUGGUGGGUGGCGUAAGUGACAGAAGCUCAGACCCGAGUAAGUAGGUUGUUUGCGUAUGGGAUAAAGAGGACUUGAUAAUUUAAUGCUAUGGUUGAAUUUUACCUUAAUGAUCUUUAGUAGUUGCGGAUGCUUGCUAGAGUUCCAAUCAUAAGUGCAUAUGAUGCAAGUAGAGAAAGUAUGUUAGCUUAUGCCUCUCCCUCAUAUAAAAUUGCAAUAAUGAUUACCGGUCUAGUUAUCGAUUGCCUAGGGACAAAUAACUUUCUCGUAACGAAAAGCUCUUUACUAAAACUAACUUAGUUGUGUCUUUACCUAAACAGCCCCUACUUUUUAUUUACGUAAUCUUUAUUAUCUUGCAAACCUAUCCAACAACACCUACAAAGUACUUCUAGUUUCAUACUUGUUCUAGGUAAAGCGAACGUCAAGCGUGCGUAGAGUUGUAUUGGUGGUCGAUAGAACUUGAGGGAAUAUUUGUUCUACCUUUAGCUCCUUGUUCGGUUCGACACUCUUACUUAUCGAAAGAGGCUACAAUUGAUCCCCUAUACUUGUGGGUUAUCAAGACCUUUUUCUGGCGCCGGCGUGGGGUGAAUAUUCUUGUGUGUGCUUGUUUGCUUUAUCACUAAGUAUUUUUUUUAUUUUCUAUUAUUAGUUGUUUUCUAUCUUUAGUUAUGGGUAGGAAACGCAAAAUACCAAAAAAAAUCAGUUGUACCUACUGAACCAAUGGUUGAAGAACCAUUCAAAAUCAAUCACACUCCUGAAGCUUAUUACUUGGAUCAUCUUCGAUCCCUAUGUGCUCGUGCUGAAACCCCAACUAUGUUAGUUGAGGGAAAAUCUUUAGAUGAGCACGCUUGUUAUGUGCGACACCGUAUAUCUGAAAAAGGGAAACUUUUACUAGGUUAAAUUCAUCGUUUGCAAUGCUAUGCUUGGAAUUUAUGUGAAAUAUAUGAUUUUACUUGUUGUUCUGAAUACCCUAAGAAACACCUUCCUUAUCAAUGUGCGUUUAGUGAUAAUGGAAUCGUAUCUUCGUAUGCUAAGGGUGUUUGUAAUUACAAUGAUGUUCAACAAAUUGAAGAAUUUGUUGCUUUUAAGGGUGCUUACGAAAUUGCUUCUUUGAUUGGAAAGUAUGAUGCUACUCUUUACAAAUCUGAAAAUUUUGCCAUACUUAAAUAUUGCUAUGAUAAUUAUGCUUCUAAUGCCUAUGUUGAACCAUAUAUUGAGGACUACUCCGCUGUCCAAGAAGAGACUAAUAUUUUGCAGGAGUCUAUGGAAGAAGAAAUUGGUAAAACUGUGAGCUCAUUGGAUGAAAAAGAUGAGGAGGAGAGCGAAGAACAAAAGGAGGAAGAGAGGAUUAGCUACCCGUGCCCACCUUCUAAUGAGAGUAACGCUUCAACUCAUACAUUGUUUAAUUUCUCUUCAUGAUUACCGAAGGAUGAUUGCUAUGAUGAUUGUUAUGAUCCCGUUGAUUCUCUUGAAAUAUCCCUUUUUGAUGAUGCUUGCUAUGCUUGUGGCCAUGAUGCCAAUAUGAAUGAUGCUUAUGGAGAGGAACUUGCUAUAGUUCCUUAUGUUAAACAUGAAAUUGUUGCUAUUGCACCCUCGCAUGGUAGUCCUAUUAUCUUUUUGAAUUCUCCCGACUACACUAUAUUGGAGAAGUUUGCACUUAUUAAGGAUUAUAUUGAUGAGUUGCGUUUUACUAUUACACAUGAUGAUUUGGAUGAAUAUAAUAUGCAUGUGCUUGCUGCUCCUACUUGCAAUUAUUAUGAGAGAGGAACUACAUCUCCACCCCUCUAUGUUUCCAACAUGGUAAAAUUGCAAGAAAUUGUUUAUACUAUGCAUUGGCCUUUACUGUGUGUGCAUGAAUUGUUCUUUUAUGAUAUGCUGAUGCAUAGGAAGAGAGUUAGACUUCGUCAUUGCUUGAUAUAUGUUACUUUGUGCUCACUACUAAAUUACAAAUCAUUGCUAAUUAAAAUUGGCUUCGAUAUACCUUGGGAUCCGGGUGGAUCCAUUACUUGAGCACUAUAUGCCUAUCUUAAUGGCUUUAAAGAAAGCGCUGCCAGGAAGACAACCUGGAAGUUUUAGAGAGUCAUUUAUUUCUGUUGUGUGCUUUUAUAAAGUUUAAAUAUAAAAUUAAUGUGCCAAGGUUUGCCUUUAGGGUGUUUUAGAUGCUUGUUGGUUUGUACGGUGCAGGACAGAAACUUUGGUUGUAGUGCACGAUUUUAAGUUUUUUACUGGAACGUCAAAUAGUUCUGAAACUUUUUGCACUGUAUUUAUAUACAAAUUGUUUAUAUUUCCUAAUUUUUGUAGAAUUGUUUAAGUAUCAUAAGUAUGGUGAAUGUUCAGAUUAUUACAGACUGUUCUGUUUUAGACAGAUUCUAUUUUUGAUGCAUAGUUUGCUUGUUUUGAUGAAACUAUCAAUUUAUAUCAGUGGAUUAAGCCAUGAAAAAGUUAUAUUACAGUAGCUACAAUGCCAAAACAAAAUAUUAAUUGGUUUUCAACAGUACUUAGAGUAGUGAUUUUCUUUAUUAUACUAACGGAUCUUACCGAGUUUUCUGUUGAAGUUUUGUGUGGAUGAAGUGUUCGAUGAUCGAGAAGGUCUCGAUGUGAUAAGAAGGAAGAGAGGCAAGAGCUCAAGCUUGGUGAUGACCUAGGCACCCCAAGUAAAUAUUCAGGGAGACUCAAGCGUCUAAGCUUGGGGAUGCCCCGGAAGGCAUCCCCUCUUUCUUCAACAAGUAUCGGUAUGUUUUCGGAUUCGUUUCGUUCAUGCGAUAUGUGCAAAUCUUGGAGCGUCUUUUGCAUUUGGUUUUCACUUCUCUUUUAUGCACCAUGCUGGUAUGAGAUGGUCCUUGGUUUAUUUAUAGAAUGCUCUAUGCACUUCACAUAUAUCUUUUGAGUAUGGCUUUAUAGAAUGCUUCAUGUGCUUCACUUAUAUCAUUUGAAGUUUGGAUUGCCUGUUUCUCUUCACUUAGACUACCGCCAUUUGUAGAAUGCUCUUUUGCUUCACUUAUAUUUGUUAGAUCAUGGGCAUAUCUUUUGUAGAAAGAAUUAAACUCUCUUGCUUCACUUAUAUCUAUUUAGAGAGAUGACAGGAACUGGUCAUUCACAUGGUUAGUCAUAAAAUCCUACAUAAAACUUGUAGAUCACUGAAUAUGAUAUGUUUGAUUCCUUGCAAUAGUUUUGCGAUAUAAAGAUGGUGAUAUUAGAGUCAUGCUAGUGGGUAGUUGUGGAUUAGUAGAAAUACUUGUGUUGAGGUUUGUGAUUCCCGUAGCAUGCACGUAUGGUGAACCGUUAUGUAACGAAGUCGGAGCAUGAGGUAUUUAUUGAUUGUCUUCCUUAUGAGUGGCGG
rnacentral:lncRNA from 1 species